GACUCUCCCUCCUCUCACCCUCUUUCCCUCUCCUCUCCUCUUCCUUUCUCUACCUGACUCUCCCUCCUCUCACCCUCUUUCCCUCUCCUCUCCUCUCUCUUCCUUUCUCUCGCUGACUCUCCCUCCUCUUGCCCUCUUUCCCUCUCCUCUCUCUUCCUUUCUCUCCCUGACUCUCCCUCCUCUCACCCUCUUUCUCUCUCCUCCUCCUUCCUCUCCCUGACUCUCCCUCCUCUCAUCCUCUUUCCCUCUCCUCUCUCUUCCUUUCUCUCCCUGACUCUCCCUCCUCUCACCCUCUUUCCCUCUCCUCUCUCUUCUUCUUCUCUUCUUCUCGAGGGAGGAAGUGGUAUGAAGUGGAGAGCAGGUCACAUGACUGCUGUCUGAUGUCAUCGGCGGGUGUCCAUGUUAUUGGGCUGAGGGGCCACAGCCGGGGUCCUGGCAGACAGCUCUGUGGCUUGGCCAUCCUCACAGGUGCCCGUCUGACUCUGACACAUCUGACUGGGGUUGACUCCAAUCAAGUUGUAGAAACAUCUCAAGAAUGAUCAAUGGAAACGGGAUGCAACUGAACCCAAUUUUGAGUCUCAUUGUCACGAACCUCGCCGAGGAUGGUGCCUCUUCCCUGUUCGGGUGGGGCUUGGCGGUCGUCGUCUCCGGCCUAUUAGCUGCCAUCGAUUCCCUUUCUGUUUGUUUUUGGUCAUUGGAUAAUUGGGUACACCUGUUUUGUAUUAGGGUUUGUUUGUAGGUUAUUUAAGGGCACUAGGCCCGCUGGGUAUUUGUGCGGGCUUGUUUCUUGUUACUCUGUGUUGGAUGGUGUCAUUUUGUUCCUAUCCUUAUUUGCCGGGCUAUUUCUGUCCUGUUGUUUGGACUGGCAACUUAUAUACGCCCUGUGUGUUGGCGUAACUGUUUUUGUUGCGCUGGGGAAUAAAUUUGACAAAACGACUGAACCCUGCUCUCUGCGCCUGAUUCCACCCACCACUCCUAGUUAUCGUAACAUCAAGGGCUUUAUUGGCAUGGGAAACAUGUGUUAACAUUGCCAAAGCAAGUAAGGUAGAUAAUAUAUAAAGUGAAAUAAACAAUAAAAAUUUACAGUAGACAUCACACAUACAGAAGUUUCAAAACAAUAAAGACAUUACAAAUGUCAUAUUAUAUAUAUAUAUAUACAGUGUUUUAACAAUGUACAAAUGGUAAAGGACACAAGAUAAAAUAAAUAAGCAUAGAUAUGGGUUGUAUUUACAAUGGUGCGUGUUCUACACUGGUUGCACUUUUCUGGUGGCAACAGAUCACAAAUCUUGCUGCUCUGAUGGCACACUGUGGAGUUUCAUAGCAAAGGAAAACUUAUGUAAAUAAGGUAUCUGUUUUUUAUUUGUAAUAAAUGUGCAAAUAUUUCUAAAAAA